rnacentral:rRNA from 1 species
AUUGAACGCUGGCGGCAUGCCUAACACAUGCAAGUCGAACGAGACCUUCGGGUCUAGUGGCGCACGGGUGCGUAACGCGUGGGAAUCUGCCCUUGGGUUCGGAAUAACAGUUAGAAAUGACUGCUAAUACCGGAUGAUGUCGUAAGACCAAAGAUUUAUCGCCCAAGGAUGAGCCCGCGUAGGAUUAGCUAGUUGGUGGGGUAAAGGCCUACCAAGGCGACGAUCCUUAGCUGGUCUGAGAGGAUGAUCAGCCACACUGGGACUGAGACACGGCCCAGACUCCUACGGGAGGCAGCAGUGGGGAAUAUUGGACAAUGGGCGAAAGCCUGAUCCAGCAAUGCCGCGUGAGUGAUGAAGGCCCUAGGGUUGUAAAGCUCUUUUACCCGGGAUGAUAAUGACAGUACCGGGAGAAUAAGCCCCGGCUAACUCCGUGCCAGCCGCCGCCGUAAUAC